AGACGUGUGCUCUUCCGAUCUGGUGGAUGCCUUGGCAAUGAUAGGCGACGAAAGACGUGAUAGCCUGCGAUAAGCUUCGGGGAGCUGGCAAAUUAGCUUUGAUCCGGAGAUUUCUGAAUGGGGAAACCCACCGAAAGGUAUCGCAUGCUGAAUACAUAGGCAUGCGAGGCGAACCGGGUGAACUGAAACAUCUCAGUAGCUCGAGGAAAAGACAUCAACCGAGAUUCCGAAAGUAGUGGCGAGCGAAAUCGGAAAAGCCUGUUAGUGAUAGCGCGACUCUUAACGGAACAGUUUGGAAAGACUGGCCAUAGUGGGUGAUAGCCCCGUAUGUGAAAAGAGACGUGUGAUACUAAGCUAACGACAAGUAGGGCGGGACACGAGAAAUCCUGUCUGAAUAUGGGGGGACCAUCCUCCAAGGCUAAAUACUCGUAAUCGACCGAUAGUGAACCAGUACCGUGAGGGAAAGGCGAAAAGAACCCCGGGAGGGGAGUGAAAUAGAUCCUGAAACCGCAUGCUUACAAAAAGUAGGAGCCUCGAAAGGGGUGACUGCGUACCUUUUGUAUAAUGGGUCAGCGACUUACAUUCAGUGGCAAGGUUAACCGAAUAGGGAAGCCGUAGAGAAAUCGAGUCCGAAUAGGGCGAACAUAGUCGCUGGGUGUAGACCCGAAACCAAGUGAUCUAUCCAUGGCCAGGAUGAAGGUGCCGUAACAGGUACUGGAGGUCCGAACCGACUAAUGUUGCAAAAUUAGCGGAUGAGCUGUGGAUAGGGGUGAAAGGCUAAACAAAUCCGGAGAUAGCUGGUUCUCCUCGAAAACUAUUUAGGUAGUGCCUCGUGGUUAACACUUCUUGGGGUAGAGCACUGUUAUGGCUAGGGGGUUAUUGCAACUUACCAAACCAUGGCAAACUCCGAAUACGAGAAAGUGAUACACGGGAGACAGACAUCUGGUGCUAACGUCAGGUGUCGAAAGGGAAACAACCCAGACCGCCAGCUAAGGUCCCAAAUGAUCAAUUAAGUGGUAAACGAUGUGGGAAGGCAUAGACAGCUAGGAUGUUGGCUUAGAAGCAGCCAUCAUUUAAAGAAAGCGUAAUAGCUCACUAGUCAAGUCGUCCUGCGCGGAAGAUGUAACGGGGCUAAAUUGAUAACCGAAGCUGCGGAUAGAACUUAGGUUCUAUGGUAGAGGAGCGUUCUGUAGGCCAAUGAAGGUGUCUUGAGAAGGAUGCUGGAGGUAUCAGAAGUGCGAAUGCUGACAUGAGUAGCGUUAAAGCGGGUGAAAAGCCCGCUCGCCGAAAGUCCAAGGUUUCCUACGCAACGUUAAUCGGCGUAGGGUGAGUCGGCCCCUAAGGUGAGGCAGAGAUGCGUAGCCGAUGGGAAACAGGUUAAUAUUCCUGUACCGAUGUAUAGUGCGAUGUGGGGACGGAGAAGGUUAGGUUAGCCAACUGUUGGAAAUGUUGGUUUAAGCGUGAAGGUGUGUAUCUUAGGCAAAUCCGGGAUACUAUAACACUGAGGCGUGAUGACGAGGUGCUACGGCACUGAAGUAAUUGAUACCAUGCUUCCAGGAAAAGCCACUAAGCUUCAGCUAUAUAUUGACCGUACCGCAAACCGACACUGGUGGACGAGAUGAGUAUUCUAAGGCGCUUGAGAGAACUCUGGAGAAGGAACUCGGCAAAUUAGCUCCGUAACUUCGGGAGAAGGAGCGCCCCGAUAAUGUGUAGGACUUCGCGUCCGAAGCAGUAAGGGGUUGCAGUGAACUGGUGGCUGCGACUGUUUAUUAAAAACACAGCACUCUGCAAACACGAAAGUGGACGUAUAGGGUGUGACGCCUGCCCGGUGCUGGAAGAUUAAAUGAUGGGGUGCAAGCUCUUGAUUGAAGUCCCAGUAAACGGCGGCCGUAACUAUAACGGUCCUAAGGUAGCGAAAUUCCUUGUC
rnacentral:rRNA from 1 species